rnacentral:rRNA from 1 species
UGAGCAACCUGCCCUUAGUUCUGGGAUAACCCCGGGAAACCGGGGCUAAUACCGGAUAUGAGUCCGAGCGGCAUCACGCGGACUGGAAAGUUUUUCGGCUAAGGAUGGGCUCGCGGCCUAUCAGCUUGUUGGUGGGGUAAUGGCCUACCAAGGCGACGACGGGUAGCCGGCCUGAGAGGGUGACCGGCCACACUGGGACUGAGACACGGCCCAGACUCUUACGGGAGGCA